rnacentral:pre_miRNA from 1 species
GCCAGUGUUCAGUCUAUUGUUUCACAUUGGUUUCGAUUGUGACUAGAUCGAACACUCGCUU